UUGGCUGAUUACUUUUGUGUUUCUUUUAUUUUUUUAAUAUGCUAUGUGUUUCUUUAGCAAGGCUUAAACUUUGCAUUAAUCAUGUUUAGAUUUCAGUCUUAGUGUGUGCAGUAGUGUAGUUGCUGACAAGAAAUUGAUUUGGUUUAAGGCAGUUAAACUUGUUGGAAAAAUUCUUGAGGCAGAGAAGACUGUCAAAAUGAACAUUGAUUGAAUUGGUAAUUGAUUGUGUUAUGGAUUUCUCUAUGUAUGUUUGUUUCCUGUUAAAUGAUCUUGAUAUAUCCUACAGAUGUUAUUCUUUAUAUGAAUUUGCUAGCUACUUUUAUUGAGUGAUUUUGCAGCCAACUGUUGAGGGGAAAUCACCACCGUGAAUAGGUAAUGUGGCACAUUACACUAAUAGCUAAUGAGCAUAUCCAACUGGGGAACUACAACGAAAUAUAGGCGUAUCUGUACGUUCAUUUGGUGCUCAAUUUUGCAUUAAAUAUUGUCAAUGUAUUGCUUGAAAUAUCAAUAAGCGAUAUAGUCGCAUCUUAUCAUUUAUGAAAUGACUUGACAGGAAAAUCUCUUUAACUAUGUCAUUUAUAUAUGAAAUAACAUCUCUGAUCUAUUAUGGAAACCCAGAUUGCUAAUUUGCUAUGGAACUCCAAGUAUGUGCUCCUUUUGCAUAUAAUUUCCUCUAUCUGUCCGACUGUCCAUUUUAAUUUCAUUAUGUGUGUCCCAACUAUGUGAACUGAAUAAUCUUGGUACAGUUCUGCUAACACCUCCUAUAUGCAGGAAAAUAAGGACCUUGCAUCAGAUGAUGGAGUAAUAGGUCUGUAACACCCUAAAUUUUUGUUUUUGCAGGAGAUAUUUGGCAUGGCAUUGGCAUGAGAGUGAAUCGCUUUGAGUUGUAUAAAAGUUGUAAUUAAAUCCUUUAGAAUUCACUCGUUGUAAUUAGUAAUAAUUUUUGGUAGAUAGUUUUGCCUGUGCGUUUGAGUAUAAGAGAGAUACUCGAACGUGGCAUAACACCCCUUUUUCCUUUUUGUUGUUAGUGUUGUUUAAGCUUCCGCUGUUGUAAAAUAAAAAAUUUAAUUAUACCCGUAUUUUCGGUAGUGGAAAAAGUGGGGUGUUACAAGGUCAAUUUGGUGUUGGAUUUUAUUCUACUUUCUUUUUUUUUGAAAAUGAUUUUAUUCUACUUUCUUGAUUGCUGAAAAGGUGAAGUAGUAAUUUCAUUUCUGUUUGGAUGGUUACUAUAUAAAUAUUAUAGUACUUGUUACAAUUUGAACUCCAUUAAAAUUUCCAGGUACACAUACAAAAGUGUCUUUCAAGUUCCUUACUAGGUAUCUUGCAACAUUUUCUGGUGAUGAUGCACAUAAUAUGAACGAAGCUAAGUGUGAUUUGCUCGAUAUACCUGCUUUUGCACAAUUAUAUUGGAGUAGGAUGCUAAAUAUGCUCUGGUGUAUCAACUUCUUAAGAUCUUUUUGACUCAGAGGUUGGAUGCAUACCUAGAUUUCCAAGCAGCAAAUUCCACUAUUGAAAAGCUAUGGUAACUAUAUGUUCCAUUACUUGAGCCUUGGGCUUCUAGAUACAUCAAUUCCUAUGUGCUGGGUGCAUACAGUUCAUUUUUACUGACUUUGCAUCAGUGUUAUCAAGGCCCUGCACACAGUUCAUUUUUACUGACUUUGCAUCAGUGUUAUCAAGGCGUCACCUAGGCGACGUCUAGGCGACGCCUAGGCGUCCGGUCGGUCGGGACCGAACGCCUAAUGUGCUCGCCUCGCCUAAGUGCAGAAUACAACCCCAAAACUCCACAAAACAUACAUGGGUAGAACCUACACACUAAGCGAGUCUACCGGUGUAAUUUCUAGUCGGAGAAGUCGCCGGAAUCUUCCUCACGCGCCGGCGCGUGGAGUCGGAGCGGCGGCACGGCGACGGCGCGUGGAGGAGCGUGGUGGCUCCGAUGGCGGAGCGGUUCGAGCUCCGGCAUCGUCCUCCUGUUCCGAGCAAAGCCCAUUCCUCUUUGUAGAAUCAUUAUGCAGCAAAGUAGGAGCAAAUAAGGAUGUUUGGAUCAGUAGGGUUAGUGCUGAUACUGGGAGUAGUAUUUCAGGGAAAAGAGUUCCUUUUUGUCUCAAUUUCUAUGUAUAUAUAUGUGUAAUCAGUGUCUAGUGAUAAUACAUAGAAAUAUACAAAAGCUUUCAAUUUCACUCUUCUUAA